UUCACACCAAUAGAUUUGAACAGUUGUGGAUGCCUCAACGGAAGCUCAACAAGCUCGCGGAUCUGAGCCAUUUGUUUACGCACGCCACCAAUGUCAUCAUAACCAACCUCAUCUAACCGAUUCUCAUCUUCUCUGUUUACAGGUUCACCCUCACAGAAUAUCUCAGUAUCUGGGGCGACAACACAAUAUUCAGCUGGAUCAGUUUCAAUAACCUUGAAUUCUACACUUCUCAUUCCUCCUCUUACAAGAAAUAG
rnacentral:misc_RNA from 1 species